rnacentral:rRNA from 1 species
UACGUAGGGGGCAAGCGUUGUCCGGAUUUAUUGGGCGUAAAGAGCGUGUAGGCGGCUAGGUAGGUCCGUUGUGAAAACUCGAGGCUCAACCUCGAGACGCCGAUGGAAACCAUCUAGCUAGAGUCCGGAAGAGGAGAGUGGAAUUCCUGGUGUAGCGGUGAAAUGCGCAGAUAUCAGGAAGAACACCCGUGGCAAAGGCGGCUCUCUAGUACGGUACUGACGCUGAGACGCGAAAGCGUGGGGAGCGAACAGG